rnacentral:rRNA from 1 species
UGGGGAAUCUUGCACAAUGGGGGAAACCCUGAUGCAGCGACGCCGCGUGAGCGAUGAAGCCCUUCGGGGUGUAAAGCUCUUUCGACGGGAACGAUAAUGACGGUACCCGGAGAAGAAGCUGCGGCUAACUACGUGCCAGCAGCCGCGGUAAUACGUAGGCAGCGAGCGUUGUUCGGAAUUACUGGGCGUAAAGAGUGCGUAGGCGGUGCUCUAAGUUUGGUGUGAAAUCUCCCGGCUUAACCGGGAGGGUGCGCCGAAGACUGGAGUGCUUGAGUGUGGGAGAGGAAAGCGGAAUUCCUGGUGUAGCGGUGAAAUGCGUAGAUAUCAGGAGGAACACCUGCGGUGUAGACGGCUUUCUGGACCACGACUGACGCUGAGGCACGAAAGCGUGGGUAGCAAACAGGAUUAGAUACCCCCGUAGUCC